CAGUCUCGUCUGAUGAUAUACACACAAACAAGCAUAGUUCACACUGAAACUACUAACCGUGUAGACAAACAUGCAUCUCAUGUCUUUCGCUCCUAUCUGACUCAUUC
rnacentral:snoRNA from 1 species